GGCCUGAUGGUCUAGUAGUAUGAUUCGCCCUUAGGGUUUCCAUCACUCAGAUGGGCGAGGUCCCGGGUUCAAUUCCCGGUUAGGCCC